AUUGAACGCUGGCGGCAGGCCUAACACAUGCAAGUCGAGCGAGCGGCGGAAGGGUGAGUACUGUAUGGGGACUGCCCGUUAGAGGGGGAUAACUACUGGAAACGGUAGCUAAUACCGCAUACUAUCGGAUAACCCAUAUGGGAUUAGCUAGUAGGUGGGGUAAUGGCUCACCUAGGCGACGAUCCCUAGCUGGUCUGAGAGGAUGAUCAGCCACACGGGGACGGAGACACGGCCCAGACUCCUACGGAGGCAGCAGUGGGGAAUAUUGCACAAUGGGCGAAAGUCUGAUGCAGCAAUGCCGCGUGUAUGAAGAAGGCUCUAGGGUUGUAAAGUACUUUCAGUCGGGAGGCGUUACCGACAGAAGAAGCACCGGCUAACUACGUGCCAGCAGCCGCGGUAAUUC
rnacentral:rRNA from 1 species